GACGAACGCUGGCGGCGUGCUUAACACAUGCAAGUCGAACGGAAAGGCCCUGCUUUUGUGGGGUGCUCGAGUGGCGAACGGGUGAGUAACACGUGAGUAACCUGCCCCUGACUUUGGGAUAACUUCAGGAAACUGGGGCUAAUACCGGAUAGGAGCUCCUGCUGCAUGGUGGGGGUUGGAAAGUUUCGGCGGUUGGGGAUGGACUCGCGGCUUGUCAGCUUGUUGGUGGGGUAGUGGCUUACCAAGGCUUUGACGGGUAGCCGGCCUGAGAGGGUGACCGGCCACAUUGGGACUGAGAUACGGCCCAGACUCCUACGGGAGGCAGCAGUGGGGAAUAUUGCACAAUGGGCGGAAGCCUGAUGCAGCAACGCCGCGUGCGGGAUGACGGCCUUCGGGUUGUAAACCGCUUUCGCCUGUGACGAAGCGUGAGUGACGGUAAUGGGUAAAGAAGCACCGGCUAACUACGUG
rnacentral:rRNA from 1 species